rnacentral:rRNA from 1 species
GUAGGGAAUCUUGCGCAAUGGGCGAAAGCCUGACGCAGCCAUGCCGCGUGAAUGAUGAAGGUCUUAGGAUUGUAAAAUUCUUUCACCGGGGACGAUAAUGACGGUACCCGGAGAAGAAGCCCCGGCUAACUUAGUGCCAGCAGCCGCGGUAAUACGAAGGGGGCUAGCGUUGCUCGGAAUUACUGGGCGUAAAGGGAGCGUAGGCGGAUAGUUUAGUCAGAGGUGAAAGCCCAGGGCUCAACCUUGGAAUUGCCUUUGAUACUGGCUAUCUUGAGUAUGGAAGAGGUAUGUGGAACUCCGAGUGUAGAGGUGAAAUUCGUAGAUAUUCGUAAGAACACCAGUGGCGAAGGCGACAUACUGGUCCAUUACUGACGCUGAGGCUCGAAAGCGUGGGGAGCAAACAGGAUUAGAAACCCGUGUAGUCC